rnacentral:rRNA from 1 species
UGAACGCUGGCGGCGUGCCUAACACAUGCAAGUCGAGCGAUUCUCUUCGGAGAAGAGCGGCGGACGGGUGAGUAACGCGUGGGUAACCUGCCUCAUACACAUGGAUAACAUACCGAAAGGUAUGCUAAUACAGGAUAACAUAAGAGAUUCACAUGGAUUUCUUAUCAAAGCUCCGGCGGUAUGAGAUGGACCCGCGUCUGAUUAGCUAGUUGGUAAGGUAACGGCUUACCAAGGCGACGAUCAGUAGCCGACCUGAGAGGGUGAUCGGCCACAUUGGAACUGAGACACGGUCCAAACUCCUACGGGAGGCAGCAGUGGGGAAUAUUGCACAAUGGGCGAAAGCCUGAUGCAAGCAACGCCGCGUGAGUGAUGAAGGCCUUCGGGUCGUAAAACUCUGUCCUCAAGGAAGAUAAUGACGGUACUUGAGGAGGAAGCCCCGGCUAACUACGUGCCAGCAGCAGC